AGCUCCGAUAGCGUAUAUUAAAGCUGUUGCGGUUAAAAAGAUCGUAGUUGGAUUUCUGCCGAGGACGACCGGUCCGCCCUCUGGGUGAGUAUCUGGCUCGGCCUGGGCAUCUCCUUGGAGAACGUAGCUGCACUUGAUUGUGUGGUGCGGUAUCCAGGACUUUUACUUUGAGGGAACUAGUGUGUUUCAAGCAGGCACACGCCUUGAAUACAUUAGCAUGGAAUAAUAAGAUAGGACCUCGGUUCCAUUUGGUUGGUUUCUAGAGCUGAGGUAAUGAUUAAUAGGGAUAGUUGGGGGCAUUCGUAUUUAAUUGUCAGACGUGGAAUUCUUGGAUUUGUUAAAGACGGAUUACUGCGAAAGCAUUUGCCAAGGAUGUUUUCA
rnacentral:rRNA from 1 species